CCACUGGUGGUUCAGUGUUAGAAUUCUCACCUUCCAUGCAAGAGAUCUGGGUUCGACUCCCAGCCAAUGCA
rnacentral:tRNA from 1 species